rnacentral:rRNA from 1 species
GAACGCUGGCGGCGUGCCUAAUACAUGCAAGUCGAACGGUCUUUCUAUGGAAGCUUGCUUCCACUGAGAAGAUAGUGGCGAACGGGUGAGUAACACGUGGGUAACCUGCCCAUAAGAGGGGGAUAACAUCCGGAAACGGAUGCUAAUACCGCAUAGUUUUCUUGAUCGCAUGAUUGAGAAAGGAAAGACGGCCUUUGUGCUGUCGCUUAUGGAUGGACCCGCGGCGUAUUAGUUAGUUGGUGAGGUAACGGCUCACCAAGACGAUGAUAUGUAGCCGACCUGAGAGGGUGAUCGGCCACAUUGGGACUGAGACACGGCCCAAACUCCUACGGGAGGCAGCAGUAGGGAAUCUUCCGCAAUGGACGAAAGUCUGACGGAGCAACGCCGCGUGAGUGAAAGAAGGUUUUCGGAUCGUAAAACUCUGUUGUCAGAGAAGAACAAGUUGGAGAGUAACUGCUCCAGCCUUGACGGUAUCUGACCAGAAAGCCACGGCUAACUACGUGCCAGCCGCGGC